UACGUAGGUGGCAAGCGUUAUCCGGAUUUAUUGGGCGUAAAGGGAACGCAGGCGGUCUUUUAAGUCUGAUGUGAAAGCCUUCGGCUUAACCGGAGUAGUGCAUUGGAAACUGGGAGACUUGAGUGCAGAAGAGGAGAGUGGAACUCCAUGUGUAGCGGUGAAAUGCGUAGAUAUAUGGAAGAACACCAGUGGCGAAAGCGGAUGACUGGACGACAACUGACGGUGAGGCGCGAAAGCGUGGGGAGCAAACAGG
rnacentral:rRNA from 1 species